GCGAGUCGAAUGUAGCAAUACAUGGCGUACUGCUCAGUAACACGUGGACAACCUACCCUCCGGACGGGUAUAAACCCGGGAAACUGGGUAUAAUCCCCGAUAGAUCUCGGUCGCUGGAAAGCCCCGAGAUCGAAAGCUCCGGCGCCAGAGGAUGGGUCUGCGGCCUAUCAGGUAGUAGUGGGUGUAGCGUACCUACUAGCCUACGACGGGUACGGGUUGUGAGAGCAAGAGCCCGGAGAUGGAUUCUGAGACACGAAUCCAGGCCCUACGGGGUGCAGCAGGCGCGAAAACUUUACAAUGCCGGCAACGGCGAUAAGGGGACCUCGAGUGCCAGGUUACAAAUCUGGCUGUCGUGAUGCCUAAAAAGCAUUGCAUAGCAAGGGCCGGGCAAGACCGGCGCCAGCCGCCGCGGUAACACCGGCGGCUCGAGUGGUAACCGUUAUUAUUGGGUCUAAAGGGUCUGUAGCCGGCCGGAUAAGUCUCUUGAGAAAUCCAGCAGCUCAACUGUUGGGCUUUCAGGAGAUACUGUCUGGCUCGAGGCCGGGAGAGGUGAGAGGUACUUCAGGGGUAGGGGUGAAAUCUUGUAAUCCUUGAAGGACCACCAGUGGCGAAGGCGUCUCACCAGAACGGACCUGACGGCAAGGGACGAAAGCUAGGGGCACGAACCGGAUUAGAUACCCGGGUAGUCCUAGCCGUAAACGAUACUCGCUAGGUGUCGGCCACGGUGCGACCGUUGUCGGUGCCGUAGGGAAGCCGUGAAGCGAGCCACCUGGGAAGUACGGCCGCAAGGCUGAAACUUAAAGGAAUUGGCGGGGGAGCACCACAACGGGUGGAGC
rnacentral:rRNA from 1 species